rnacentral:rRNA from 1 species
GAUGAACGCUGGCGGCGUGCCUAAUACAUGCAAGUCGAGCGAACAGACGAGGAGCUUGCUCCUCUGACGUUAGCGGCGGACGGGUGAGUAACACGUGGAUAACCUACCUAUAAGACUGGGAUAACUUCGGGAAACCGGAGCUAAUACCGGAUAAUAUAUUGAACCGCAUGGUUCAAUAGUGAAAGACGGUUUUGCUGUCACUUAUAGAUGGAUCCGCGCCGCAUUAGCUAGUUGGUAGGGUAACGGCUUACCAAGGCAACGAUGCGUAGCCGACCUGAGAGGGUGAUCGGCCACACUGGAACUGAGCCACGGUCCAGACUCCUACGGGAGGCAGCAGUAGGGAAUCUUCCGCAAUGGGCGAAAGCCUGACGGAGCAACGCCGCGUGAGUGAUGAAGGUCUUCGGAUCGUAAAACUCUGUUAUUAGGGAAGAACAAAUGUGUAAGUAACUAUGCACGUCUUGACGGUACCUAAUCAGAAAGCCACGGCUAACUACGUG